rnacentral:rRNA from 1 species
CGCAAGCCUGAUGCAGCCAUGCCGCGUGUAUGAAGAAGGCCUUCGGGUUGUAAAGUACUUUCAGCAGUGAGGAAGGUGGGUAUGUUAAUAGCAUACUCAUUUGACGUUAGCUGCAGAAGAAGCACCGGCUAACUCCGUGCCAGCAGCCGCGGUAAUACGGAGGGUGCGAGCGUUAAUCGGAAUUACUGGGCGUAAAAGCGCAUGCAGGUGGUUUGUUAAGUCAGAUGUGAAAGCCCGGGGCUCAACCUCGGAAUUGCAUUUGAAAACUGGCAAACUAGAGUACUGUAGAGGGGGGUAGAAUUUUCAGGUGUAGCGGUGAAAUGCGUAGAGAUCUGAAGGAAUACCGGUGGCGAAGGCGGCCCCCUGGACAGAUACUGACACUCAGAUGCGAAAGCGUGGGGAGCAAACAGGAUUAGAUACCCUGGUG